rnacentral:lncRNA from 7 species
ACCUGCAUAACUGACUUGGUCUUCAGUGGAGGCUACAUUCUCAAGUAUGAACACAAAAUGAAGAAGCAACAUUAAUGCUUCAGGUAAAGAAACAAAAAGCUGUCCAAAAGAAUCUUGAUUUUAAAGCACUCAGAUGAAAAAAUUGCCUCGGGACCGUCUUUCCAUUGUAUCCCCAUCACAAACGUGCUCUGGACCUCUGCUUGGCAUAGGUGGUUCACCACCUUGGACUCUAUGCUGUUUUCAUACUCUUUUGUACCCAGGAGCAGAACCGAACAGACUUCCAGUCAUCACUAAGUGAUCAUCCGGGUUGCUGACCCUGUGGAUGAAGGAUGGCUCAUUCUGUUUUUCUGCAUGGAGGCACUACUGAACCCAGUACUGGAAACUGAGUGAAGAUUAAAGGAUUUUAAGAAUGCUUCCUCUGUUAAAUAGCUCAGUUUACUACAUGCUUAGGAAUGGGCUGAAGCUUGAGAAAGUUGAAGUUUCUUGGAAAGUCCCCACAAAGAAUAUUUUCUUUCAAUUUUAGGGAUGCACACUAUUUAUCCAUCAAUGGAGGAAUUGAUUUAGUUUUUAUCUAUAUAUGACUGUCAAUGGUUUUGAUUUUCUUUACUGCUUGGCAUCUAACCUAUUUAAUAGAAUGUGUACCUUUGGUGUGCAACAGAAGUAGGUGGAAAACAAAGUCAGUGAAUGAUCACUAUAUAAACACACGCACCGUUUUUAAAAAAAUCACACAUUUAUAUCUUAACAUGUUCAGACUUGUUCCCAUGGGAUGCUGCUGGAAAAUAAUACAUAGCUUUAGUUCAAAUGGUUUGCCUGUCUGUGUGUUCAUGGUAAUGAGUAUUGUUCCAUCUCCCUGUUUUUCGUAAAGGUAUCAUCAUGAACUUGGUUCCCUCUAAGAAUAUCUUUCUUUCUGUUGAUACAGGAACUUCAUUUCAUACUGGAUCAACAUGAAAUACAUGCAUUAAUGCUGCAUGUGGUUGUGGUGUGUAGAUCUACUGGUCAGCUAUCUCCUACUAGUAAAUCAAUGAUUCUUUUUACUUCAACGUAGAGAAUUGGAAAUGGAGACAUAAAUUUCAUCAAAGUAAACUGGAAACAAACAUUCUUAUAGGCUGUAAGUCUUCAAAUGUUAAGACUCUGCGUCAAAUUUAUAUUGAGCUGCACUGUGUGUGUACUUAGUCAAAAUCGAGUAGUUAGUAAGGGGUAAUGUAAGGUAUACUGUUAUAUAUGCUUAGGACCCUUGUUUGGGCACCUGAGGAUUUUGGGAUUUUUUUUGCCAGUCUGGAGAUGUGUGCAUUCAUGGCAUAUGGCCUCAUUUGAAAUAAUGAGAAAGAGAGAACUCUGCUAGCAGCCUCCGGGAAGUAAAUGUUACUGUUCAUCUGAGAGUGUGCAUUAUGAGAGUGUUCCAUUCAUAGCCAGUGUCCUUUAGAAGUUUGUGAGCUCAUCACUGAAAUACUAUGUCUCUAGGGAAAGAAAUACAAGUAUUCAUUUGCAUCAUUAGCAGUUUCUGAUUUUUGAAAUAUAUAGGUCAUUC